UCUCUGGUGGUCUAGUGGUUAGGACUUGGUGCUUUCACAGCCGCAGCCGGGGUUUGAUCCCUUGUCUGGGAA
rnacentral:tRNA from 1 species